rnacentral:rRNA from 1 species
GGAGUUAGCCGGUGCUUCUUCUGUGAGUGAUGUCCUUCCUGCCGGUUAUUGACCCGAAGGCCUUCUUCCUCACUGAAAGUGCUUUACAACCCGAAGGCCUUCUUCACACACGCGGCAUGGCUGGAUCAGGGUUGCCCCCAUUGUCCAAUAUUCCCCACUGCUGCCUCCCGUAGGAGUCUGGGCCGUGUCUCAGUCCCAGUGUGGCUGAUCAUCCUCUCAGACCAGCUACGGAUCGUCGCCUUGGUGAGCCGUUACCUCACCAACCAGCUAAUCCGACAUAGGCUCAUCCGAUAGCGCGAGGCCCGAAGGUCCCCCGCUUUCCCCCGUAGGGCGUAUGCGGUAUUAGCCUGGGUUUCCCCAGGUUAUCCCCCACUACCGGGCAGAUUCCUAUGCAUUACUCACCCGUCCGCCGCUCGCCACCAGGGAGCAAGCUCCCCGUGCUGCCGCUCGACUUGCAUGUGUUAGGCCUGCCGCCAGCGUUCAAUCUGAGCCAGGAUCAAACUCUGA